UAACAUAACCGCCCCGUUUAAUAUCGAUUAACCGAGGCAGUUGUUUUACAAUGCCCGACCGAGACAGUUACGUUAAGGCAACCGCGUCAGUUAAUAUUCGAUUAACCAAGGAAGUUACAUUACAAUGCCCUAACCGAGACGGGCCGCUGGCUCAACCGCCUCCCAGGGGGUUUUCAAAAUGCCUCCUAAAAGGUUUUUUUUAGUAUCCUAACACAUCUUGCAGCCACAACAAGC
rnacentral:lncRNA from 1 species